rnacentral:rRNA from 1 species
GACGAACGCUGGCGGCGCGCUUAACACAUGCAAGUCGAGCGAAGCGGCGGACGGGUGGGUAACACGUGAGUAACCUGACUUAGACAUUGGGAUAGCCUCGGGAAACCGGGAUUAAUACCAAAUGUUCUCAGAUGGACUCGCGUGCCAUUAGCUAGUUGGUGAGGGAACGGCCCACCAAGGCGCCGAUGGGUAGCCGGCCUGAGCGGGUGAACGGCCACAUUGGAACUGAGAAACGGGCCAAGCUCUACGGGAGGCAGCAGUGGGGAAUAUGGCACAAUGGAGGGAACUCUGAUGCAGCGACGCCGCGUGAACGAAGAAGGCUUUCGAAUCGUAAAGUUCUUUUAUAUGGGAAGCGGUACCAUAAGAAAAAGCCCCGGCUAACUACGUGCCAGCAGCCGCGGUAAUAC